rnacentral:rRNA from 1 species
AGCAGCCGCGGUAAUUCCAGCUCCAAUAGCGUAUAUUAAAGUUGUUGCAGUUAAAAAGCUCGUAGUUGAAUUUCGGGAUCAAUACGUCGGUCGUGCCUCGGUACGUACUAACGUUAUUGAUUUCUCCCUUCUAACAAAUCGUGAUGUCAUUAAUUUGGUGUUACGAGGAGUUAGGACUGUUACCUUGAAAAAAUUAGAGUGUUUAAAGCAGGCAAUCGCUCGAAUACAUUAGCAUGGAAUAAUGAAAUAGGACGUUCGAACCUAUUUUGUUGGUUUCUAGGAUCGACGUAAUGAUUAAUAGGGAUAGUUGGGGGCAUUAGUAUUCAAUUGUCAGAGGUGAAAUUCUUGGAUUUAUUGAAGACUAACUACUGCGAAAGCAUUUGCCAAGGAUGUUUUCAUUAAUCAAGAACGAAAGUUAGGGGAUCGAAGACGAUCAGAUACCGUCGUAGUCUUAACCAUAAACUAUGCCGACUAGGGAUCGGAUGAUGUUAACUUAAUGACUCAUUCGGCGUCUUACG